UAGUCCACGCUGUAAACGAUGUCUACUUGGAGGUUGUUGUCUUGAAUGAUGGCUUUCGGAGCUAACGCGUUAAGUAGACCGCCUGGGGAGUACGGCCGCAAGGUUAAAACUCAAAUGAAUUGACGGGGGCCCGCACAAGCGGUGGAGCAUGUGGUUUAAUUCGAUGCAACGCGAAGAACCUUACCUACUCUUGACAUCUAGAGAAGCUUGCAGAGAUGCGAGUGUGCCUUCGGGAACUCUAAGACAGGUGCUGCAUGGCUGUCGUCAGCUCGUGUUGUGAAAUGUUGGGUUAAGUCCCGCAACGAGCGCAACCCUUAUCCUUGUUUGCCAGCACGUAAUGGUGGGAACUCCAGGGAGACUGCCGGUGAUAAACCGGAGGAAGGUGGGGACGACGUCAAGUCAUCAUGGCCCUUACGAGUAGGGCUACACACGUGCUACAAUGGUGCAUACAGAGGGCAGCGAGACCGCGAGGUGGCGCGAAUCUACAAAACCUAUCAC
rnacentral:rRNA from 1 species